CUGGCGGCAUGCCUUACACAUGCAAGUCGAACGGUAACAGGGAGCUUGCUCCGCUGACGAGUGGCGAACGGGUGAGUAAUGUAUCGGAACGUACCAUUCAGUGGGGGAUAACGUAGCGAAAGUUACGCUAAUACCGCAUAUUCUGUGCGCAGGAAAGCAGGGGAUCGCAAGACCUUGCGCUGAUUGAGCGGCCGAUAUCAGAUUAGCUAGUUGGUGGGGUAAAAGCUCACCAAGGCGACGAUCUGUAGCGGGUCUGAGAGGAUGAUCCGCCACACUGGAACUGAGACACGGUCCAGACUCCUACGGGAGGCAGCAGUGGGGAAUUUUGGACAAUGGGGGCAACCCUGAUCCAGCCAUGCCGCGUGAGUGAAGAAGGCCUUCGGGUUGUAAAGCUCUUUCGGCCGGGAAAAAAUCGCAUGGGUUAAUACCCUGUGUGGAUGAUGGUACCGGAAUAAGAAGCACCGGCUAACUACGUGCCAGCAGCCGCGGUAAUACGUAGGGUGCGAGCGUUAAUCGGAAUUACUGGGCGUAAAGCGUGCGCAGGCGGUUUUGUAAGACAGGCGUGAAAUCCCCGGGCUCAACCUGGGAACUGCGCUUGUGACUGCAAGGCUAGAGUAUGGCAGAGGGGGGUGGAAUUCCACGUGUAGCAGUGAAAUGCGUAGAGAUGUGGAGGAACACCAAUGGCGAAGGCAGCCCCCUGGGCCAAUACUGACGCUCAUGCACGAAAGCGUGGGUAGCAAACAGGAUUAGAUACCCUGGUAGUCCACGCCCUAAACGAUGUCAACUAGGUGUUGGGAGGGUAAAACCUUUUAGUACCGGAGCUAACGCGUGAAGUUGACCGCCUGGGGAGUACGGCCGCAAGGUUAAAACUCAAAGGAAUUGACGGGGACCCGCACAAGCGGUGGAUGAUGUGGAUUAAUUCGAUGCAACGCGAAGAACCUUACCUGGACUUGACAUCCCCUGAAUAGUGCAGAGAUGCAUGAAGCCCUUCGGGGCAGGGAGACAGGUGGUGCAUGGUUGUCGUCAGCUCGUGUCGUGAGAUGUUAGGUUAAGUCCUGCAACGAGCGCAACCCUUAUCAUUAGUUGCUACCAUUAAGUUGAGCACUCUAGUGAGACUGCCCGGGUUAACCGGGAGGAAGGUGGGGAUGACGUCAAAUCAUCAUGCCCCUUAUGUCCAGGGCUACACACGUGCUACAAUGGUGGGUACAGAGAGAUGCAAGACCGCGAGGUGGAGCAAAACUCAAAAACCUAUCCCAGUUCGGAUUGUAGGCUGCAACUCGCCUACAUGAAGCCGGAGUUGCUAGUAAUCGCGAAUCAGAAUGUCGCGGUGAAUACGUUCCCGGGCCUUGUACACACCGCCCGUCACACCAUGAGAGCUGGCAACACCCGAAGUCCGUGAGGUAACCUGU
rnacentral:rRNA from 1 species